rnacentral:lncRNA from 12 species
AAAAUCACAGCAGUCUCACGUGCAAGAAGGCCCGUAGCUACAAUACGCUCCCUUGCAAAACCUGGGAGAAAAACCGGGGCUGCCAGGAGGCGCAGGCAGGAGACGUGAGAAGGUCACCAAAGGCCGUCCUGGCCCCCUUUCUCAGAAACGGUGUCUUAUUCCCGAUUCGAAAGCAGACAGCAUGGGCCUCUGAUGUCAGAGUUCCCAACCCCCGACAGCACAUCUGCGGGAACAUUAAAAGCGGCGUGGGUCGCCGUGAUCCAGAAAAACAACAAAACCCCGUGAAGGGGCGACAACGCUGCAGAGCACACACCGGGUCGCUGUCUUUGUGGAGGAGGCGCAGGAAAGCGGCAGUUCCGCCGGUGGGCGGCUCCUGAGGGGCACCGCAGCCGGCGGGCGGAGGGGGGCGGCGUCCGGGCGGGGCGGCCGGCUGGGGCGGGGGACGGAGCACUUCCGUGAGCCGCUUCGCUUGGAGGACCCGGGAGAUGUGUCCUUGGCGGUGCCCGACUUAAAGGAGGUGUGGGGGCGCUGGGUAUCCUCGCGGCAUCUAGCCCGCGGCGGCCGCCGGGGGUUCUGUGCUGUAGGGAAGACCGCGCGCGUGUUCCGAUCCCUAAAAAGUCCGAGGCUGCGGCGGAUAGUCACAGAGCGGUCCCCAGCCGGCGCCGCGUCCUUACUGCGCACGCGCGACGCCGCCGGAGCCCGCGGGGACCCCCUCGGAGACCCCCUCGGAGACCCCCUCGGGGGUGUGGCGCCACUAGGAAGGGUUUGUCGCUGUUUUGCGCGUGCGCGCGCCCGAGCGCCGGAGCUGCAUGAGGUCUGGGGCCGGGCGUGUCUCAUCGGCUGGUGGCGGCGCCAGGGCCCCUGGUCGUGCUCUGGAGAUGCGGCGGUGGCCCGGGAGGCGGCAGGACGGCCAGGACAGGCGCGAGGGCCCUGGGAACAGCCCGGCAGUGCCUCCAGGGGAUUGCAUUCAGCCGCUGGCUCUUCUGGGGAAGACAGACAUCAUUUUCUCAGUGGCUAUGUUCAAAACCACCCAAAGGAACUGGUGAGCCAAAGGAAUGCUGGACCUGGAGCAGAUGGAGGCAAGAGAGGGGAAAGCAGAGAGACUUUGCCUGGUAGAGACAGAUACAGAAGGUGGACUGGCCGGAAGUCGUUAACAGUUGGUGUGUGUGUCAUCCAUCCCUGGCACUGGGAUGGCAUCUGAGAAGAAUGCCUCUCCUGGUUUCACUACCCAAUAGCAACCCGUGUGAAGGUGAUCAUUUACCAUGUUGGUAUGUAUCAGUAGCAGUGCUCCAGGUAGGACAUAAUCCCUGUGUAUAGAACUCUUAACUGAUUCAGUUUUGUCUCAAAACUGUGAUGUGAGAACCAUGAGCCAAGAUGUAGGGGGGAACAAUACGAGGACAAAGUUUUUGGAGCUUGUUAUACUUUUUUUUUUUUUUUUUAAACAUAUUUUUUUAAUUUUUAUUUAUUUAUGAUAGUCACAGAGAGAGAGAGAGAGAGAGCAAGGCAGAGACAUAGGCAGAGGGAGAAGCAGGCUCCAUGCACUGGGAGCCCGACGUGGGAUUCGAUCCCGGGUCUCCAGGAUCGUGCCCUGGACCAAAGGCAGGCGCCAAACCGCUGCGCCACCCAGGAAUCCCGCUUGUUAUACUUUUAUCCAAAACCUAAAGCCUGCAGCUUUGUGGGGCCAGGACAGAGGCUCCACUCAGGCUUUGCUGGAAGAGCACCCGGGGAGAGGGGCAGUAGCUGUGGGGGAGGGCAGCCUUAGGCUGCCCUCACAUCUUGGUUUCUGCAGAAUUUUGUGUGGUUUAAUAGCAGCACCGUUGACACCUUUGAGCAGAACCUGGAUACUGUUCACUGGGAGCUGGGCAUCGUUCCCCCCAAGCAGGCAUCAAUGGUCUACACCACUGAGAGCGACAG